rnacentral:rRNA from 1 species
GGCGGCAGGCCUAACACAUGCAAGUCGAACGGUAACAGGAAGAAGCUUGCUUCUUUGCUGACGAGUGGCGGACGGGUGAGUAAUGUCUGGGAAACUGCCUGAUGGAGGGGGAUAACUACUGGAAACGGUAGCUAAUACCGCAUAACGUCGCAAGACCAAAGAGGGGGACCUUCGGGCCUCUUGCCAUCGGAUGUGCCCAGAUGGGAUUAGCUUGUUGGUGGGGUAACGGCUCACCAAGGCGACGAUCCCUAGCUGGUCUGAGAGGAUGACCAGCCACACUGGAACUGAGACACGGUCCAGACUCCUACGGGAGGCAGCAGUGGGGAAUAUUGCACAAUGGGCGCAAGCCUGAUGCAGCCAUGCCGCGUGUAUGAAGAAGGCCUUCGGGUUGUAAAGUACUUUCAGCGGGGAGGAAGGGAGUAAAGUUAAUACCUUUGCUUAUUGACGUUACCCGCAGAAGAAGCACCGGCUAACUCCGUGCCAGCAGCCGCGGUAAUACGGAGGGUGCAAGCGUUAAUCGGAAUUACUGGGCGUAAAGCGCACGCAGGCGGUUUGUUAAGUCAGAUGUGAAAUCCCCGGGCUCAACCUGGGAACUGCAUCUGAUACUGGCAAGCUUGAGUCUCGUAGAGGGGGGUAGAAUUCCAGGUGUAGCGGUGAAAUGCGUAGAGAUCUGGAGGAAUACCGGUGGCGAAGGCGGCCCCCUGGACGAAGACUGACGCUCAGGUGCGAAAGCGUGGGAGCAAACAGGAUUAGAUACCCUGGUAGUCCACGCCGUAAACGAUGUCGACUUGGAGGUUGUGCCCUUGAGGCGUGGCUUCCGGAGCUAACGCGUUAAGUCGACCGCCUGGGGAGUACGGCCGCAAGGUUAAAACUCAAAUGAAUUGACGGGGGCCCGCACAAGCGGUGGAGCAUGUGGUUUAAUUCGAUGCAACGCGAAGAACCUUACCUGGUCUUGACAUCCACGGAAGUUUUCAGAGAUGAGAAUGUGCCUUCGGGAACCGUGAGACAGGUGCUGCAUGGCUGUCGUCAGCUCGUGUUGUGAAAUGUUGGGUUAAGUCCCGCAACGAGCGCAACCCUUAUCCUUUGUUGCCAGCGGUCCGGCCGGGAACUCAAAGGAGACUGCCAGUGAUAAACUGGAGGAAGGUGGGGAUGACGUCAAGUCAUCAUGGCCCUUACGACCAGGGCUACACACGUGCUACAAUGGCGCAUACAAAGAGAAGCGACCUCGCGAGAGCAAGCGGACCUCAUAAAGUGCGUCGUAGUCUGGAUUGGAGUCUGCAACUCGACUCCAUGAAGUCGGAAUCGCUAGUAAUCGUGGAUCAGAAUGCCACGGUGAAUACGUUCCCGGGCCUUGUACACACCGCCCGUCACACCAUGGGAGUGGGUUGCAAAAGAAGUAGGUAGCUUAACCUUCGGGAGGGCGCUUACCACUUUGUGAUUCAUGACUGGGGUGAAGUCG